CCUACGGGAGGCAGCAGUGGGGAAUCUUGCGCAAUGGGCGAAAGCCUGACGCAGCAACGCCGCGUGCGGGAAGAAGGCUUUCGGGCUGUAAACCGCUUUCAGCAGGAACGAAAAUGACGGUACCUGCAGAAGAAGGAGCGGCCAACUAUGUGCCAGCAGCCGCGGUGAUACAUAGGCUUCAAGCGUUGUCCGGAUUUAUUGGGCGUAAAGAGUUCGUAGGCGGUCGAGUAAGUCGGGUGUGAAAAUUCUGGGCUCAACCCAGAGACGCCACCCGAUACUGCUUGACUUGAGUUCGAUAGGGGAGUGGGGAAUUCCUAGUGUAGCGGUGAAAUGCGCAGAUAUUAGGAGGAACACCGGUGGCGAAGGCGCCACUCUGGAUCGAUACUGACGCUGAGGAACGAAAGCAUGGGUAGCAAACAGGAUUAGAUACCCUGGUAGUCCAUGCCGUAAACGGUGGGCACUAGGUGUGGGUUUCUAUUAACGAAAUCCGCGCCGUCGCUAACGCAUAGUGCCGCCGUCGGUGGUACGGUCGCGAGACGUAAACGUUAAACGGUAAAGUUAGUAACGGUCGUGUUAGACGUGCCGAACGGACGACGACGAGGGAGGAGG
rnacentral:rRNA from 1 species